rnacentral:rRNA from 1 species
GAUGAACGCUAGCUACAGGCUUAACACAUGCAAGUCGAGGGGAAACGACAUCGAAAGCUUGCUUUUGAUGGGCGUCGACCGGCGCACGGGUGAGUAACGCGUAUCCAACCUGCCCAUCACUUGGGAAUAACCUUGCGAAAGUAAGACUAAUACCCAAUGAUAUCCCACGAAGGCAUCGGAAUGGGAUUAAAGAUUUAUCGGUGAUGGAUGGGGAUGCGUCUGAUUAGCUUGUUGGCGGGGUAACGGCCCACCGAGGCAACGAUCAGUAGGGGUUCUGAGAGGAAGGUCCCCCACAUUGGAACUGAGACACGGUCCAAACUCCUACGGGAGGCAGCAGUGAGGAAUAUUGGUCGAUGGGCGAGAGCCUGAACCAGCCAAGUAGCGUGCAGGAAGACGGCCCUAUGGGUUGUAAACUGCUUUUAUAAGGGAAUAAAGUGGGUCACGUGUGACUUUUUGCAUGUACCUUAUGAAUAAGGACCGGCUAAUUCCGUG